AUUUUUCAUGUUAAUGAGACAAUUGCUUAAAUUGUCCUGCAAAGUUCGAAGAUCAUAUUUUCAUUUAAUUUCAAACACCGCGCUGCAUAUAACAAUCU